UUAGCAGUUAAUUGAGUAGCGUGGCUGGAGAAAAACGCGUGGCUGGAGAAAAACUCGUGGCUGGAGGAACAAUUGAAAAAUGGAUAAGAUAAUACAACAAAAGGAUGAUCAAAUUAUGAAGCUGCAGGCCCAAUUAUUGGAACAACACAAAAUAUUAGAUAACAGCAAAGCUAAGGAUGCUCAAAUUUUGAGUCUACAAGCUCAGGUAGGGGAAAAGAACAAAUUGGAACGGAACAGUUUCCAAACAGUGAAGGAGGUUUUUCCAAACUCAUCCCUAACUGAACAUGAGGAUGAAUUGGCAUUAGGUGAACACAGUCAGUUAUUCAGUCUACCACCUGACAGUGUGUUAAAGUUAAAUUCUGUUAGUGCUGCACUAAAAGAAUUGUUAGUAAUAAGUCCAUGCAGCGAAGGAAUUGAACAAUUGUGGGACUGUAUUUGGGCCGAAAAUGGGUGUGGUAUGGAAACCGAGAUAUGGCAUGAGUUCAACAUAAAACAUGAAUUAGAAUUUUAGUGGGGGAUCAAGUCAAGUCUGGAAGUGUUACAGGAUGGAAGAGUGAGCCUACAGUUGAAAAACACUGAAAGUGCAUUACCAUUAAGUUUUGUCACAGCUAGAGCCUCAAAUAAUUCUGCUGCUCUGGCUAAAGAACAACUUGUCCUUUACGUUCAGAGUGUUGGUGAAGCUGGGUACUUAAAUGGCCCUAAAGAUGUUUCUUUUCGCUGGCAUUGCAGCGAUGAACAUCAUACAUGGAUUUUUUAGGAAAGGAUUUUCAACAUACUGGGAACACAACUAUCAACAAUGCAACAUUCUAGGGGUGCUAUUUUAUCAUUCAAGAGCCUUAUACAAUGAUUUUCAUCUGCAAUUUGUAUGGCCUUUCCCAAGCUUCUGCCAGAAGUUGAAUCUAUAAGUCAUGUAAGUCACAUGAGCAACAAUUGAGAUGCUUAAUGGUGUUUUUUUUCUUUUCUCAGCAUAGGUUAAUAGUAACAUUGGAUCUGAAAAGAUUCUUGGUUGGGGCAAGACACUGAAUAAAUUGUAUUGAUUGGAUGGAUGACAUGACAUUGCUAUACUUAAUUCGGAUUCCCCAGACGGUAUUUGAUAUUUAAAAAAUUGAAGUGCAUAUCUGGGCUCCCUUCUUUUCUGAAGCCCCGUUUCCCCUUGACUCAUAAUAAGCCCGUAGGGGGUCAUGCCCCUACUGUACGGUAUAUAUAAAAACAACAUAUACCGAGGUUUGGAGAGCUCUGGCCGGAAAGGGGACGUGGGGUGCCGCUUAGUCCGAUGAUGUGUUCACGGAGGGCGACGUGGCUGCCCACAAAUCCGAACUAAAGGUUAAUCGCUCCUGUAAAAAUGUUCCAAAUCUUCAGCUCUUCUUCCGGCUUCUCUUAGCCAAUCACCGGGUAAUCUCCCCGGUGGGUCA